GGAGGCAGCCGCGGAGAUGCGGAGAGCGAGAAGGGCGGCGAGGAGGGGAAGAAAGACCGUGCGGGGAAGCUGACCGCGGAGGCGGAUAGGCUGCAUCGCUGAAUAAGCCUAUAGCAAGAGGAAGCUCAGCCCAGCACCACAUCCCUCGCUACGGCAUCCAGACCACCGUACGGCGUCCACGUCGUCCUCCCGGUGAGCUCGGGAAGCGCGCCGUCUCCGUCGACACCAAGGUUAUCACCAGGUUCACAUCCCUUUACCUUAGGUAGUGGUAGUUCGGUGCUGGUGGUUGGCGUGGCUCAUUUUAUUUGAUAGCAGCAGCAGUGAAUGUGAAUGAAGAUGGAUGGAUGUGUGGUUGGAUCGCGAUAAGAUUUGUGGUGGUGCUCAUGGGGCGCUUUUCCUCAUGGAUUUUGUGACUAAUGUUGCCUCUUCAAUGAUUUGGGCUUUCUGUUGUAUGAUGGUCCAACCGCGAGGGAACGAAAAUGUCAUUUGCUUUGCUACUUGCAUGGCUUGGCUUCAACAUUUCCAACUGAAUAAUUCACAUAGUGCUCUGAAAUGUGAAAUUUCUGCGGUGAUUACUGUCCCUCUUGCAUGUUGUUCCAUGUUUAGCUAAUUUAAUAUGUCGUGUAAGGCGUUGGUUCGCUAUAUUUCCUCUGGGCCAUCGCUUAGAGCACAGUUAUAUUUUCUGAAUUUCUUCAUCUUGUGCUGCUCUCAUCUGUGUGCACCCUGAUUGCCAUAUAGACCUAGCCAGUUUGAUCUGUAGACUUCGUAGUUAUUGAUUUAAUUUCUGUGGAAAUUUUAUUGUUCUUUCAUUCCAAGUGGUUAUUCUGAAUCCGUAGACUUUUGGAAUGUGUGUGAGGAUGUGACUAAGCUCUAUGUGAAUGAUAUACCCACUGUUGUGGUGGUUCAAACAUUUCAUAUCUUAAGGUGGUAAAUGUGCAUGCAUUUUAAUUUUCCCUUUUCAGUCUUAUGCAAAGAAAUACAGGCUCAUACGAGAGGUAUUAAUUUUUACAGCAUAUAUGGCUUCAAUUAUUUUAAGUGACUACUUAUAUCUACAAUGUAUCCUAAUCGACCUUCUGCUGUUUGACCAUUGCUCUUGCAAAUGACUGCACUCGGUGUCUUCUCCAGCUAACAGGAAAUCAUAAGGUAUGAAUCUCUGAUGUCAUGCUUGUGCAUCUCUCAUCAUUGUUUGGUCCUUUGAUGUGCUUUGAGCAGCACCAAAACUUGAUUCUAUUAAUCAUAAUUUGACUCCACAUGCAGCGAAACUGUCGAAACAGCAGUGCUAAGGUUUUUUUUUUUUUGCUAUGCGCAUCCUUCAAUCUUCAGAUUGUUAUAUGUAUGGAUGAUAGAACUGAAGCAUCAUAUACAUCUUCAGCUAUUUAAGGCAAGUGACUAUCUGCAACCAUCUUGCUCAUUUUCAGCUCUACUUAUUCUCUGCUGCUUGUAGAGUUGUUGCUAAUCCUCAUGUUCUACCACCAGACUGGUAUGAAUCUCUGAUAGCAUGCAUCUUAGUUGCUGCAUCCUGUAUCAGUGUCCUCUCUCUAGGUUGUUUUCUUGAGCAGGAUAUCCCAAGGGAAAUGACAUGGCUCAAACAAUUCUCAGUUCUGUUUCUUAUACUGUCAUCAUAGGUGUUUGUGUGCAACCAUAUUGUUGUAUCCGCUA